UUUGGGGGUUUUUUUAUGUUUUUAGGAAAACACCAGUAAAAUAUUUCAGUAAGUGCUAAUAUGUCUACGUGAUCCUUGUUGAAAUUUUCUCUCACUUUUCACUUUAGAAGUAUGCUGGGAAUAAUGCAAACACACAAUUCUGGGGCUUGAUCUCUAAAGGAUUACAUGUAUCUCAACAUCUAGGAGAACUUUCAAUUCAUUUCUGCAAUAUGAAUGCCACUAAUAGAAGCCUGCCUGUUUUAGGGCUGUGUACUUUGAGUAUGAAAUAUCCAUAUCUAAGAAAAGAGAAAAUUGUGGCUGUGUAAACAAAAUUCAUAAUAUCUUCAACUGCCUGGGAAAGAGAUCUCAUUAUCUCUCAGAUAAACUAAGCUGAAAAGACAGCAAAUGUUGCUCUUUCAAGUUUCUUUCAUUAAGUAUUAGGUGUUAGCUACACUAUUAAUGUACACACAGAAAAAUGUUCCCUUGGAUUAGAAUUUAGUUUAUUGUUUUCUGUCUUCAGUUAAUAAGUUGGGAAAAUGCAGUCAACCCCAGUUUAUACUCCAGUAAGUGCCACUCAGCAGGUGAUUAGUAAUUUUAUUGGAUAUCACUUCUUUUUCUUGCAUUUUAUUCCUUUCCUCUCUCCUACCUCUUUUCAUUGCUAUUACUAUUGUUUUAAAUAGCACUAUUCUCAUUAGUAUAAUUAAAAUCAUUUGUAGUAAAUUUUAUGUUGCUUCUGUUAUUAAACUGUUCAUUCCUGAGUUUUAAUUUUUUUUCCCAGUUCUUCUCUCCAUUCCACCUGGCUGGGGGGUGGGAGUGAGUGGCUGUAUGAGAGUGAUCUCAGGUGCUGGCUGGGGUUAAAAUAUGAGUGUCCUUUUGAGCACCCAAUAUGAGGCUGCUUCAGCACGCAACACCUACUCUGGUGAAUUCCAAAAAACUUUCCUUCUGGCCAGUCCAUUAUCACUUCCAAGGUUCCUGGGUGACUAGGAUUUCUUAUUCAAGCUUGUGUGAUCAGUGUGACCCACUUGCUCUGUGUGCAGUGUGCAGAGGAGGCCCUUUCACCAUCCAGCCCAGCACCAGCAGCUGCUGUGCCAGGAGAAGCUGUGCUUGCAUGGCCUGAGUCUUUGGUGAAGGAGCAUCUAAUGUGACAUAUCUUCAAAAUCAGGAUUUCCACCCCAGGCAGCAAUAUCUUACCACAAUGGGUUUACCUCUGCCCUGCCAGUUACCCUGAUUCCAUUUCUAUUGCGUCCCUCACAGGUCAUUUGUCACCAUCUGUGAGUCAACAGAGAGGAUAUAACCUCAUGACGUUCAACUAGGGGAAGUGCCAAGUCCUCCACCUGGGAUAAAACAGCCUGAGGCAGCAGGAGAUGCUGGGUGCCAUCCUGCUAAGAAGCAAGUUUGCGGAAAAGGCCCUGGAGCUGGACACCCACUUGACCAAGAGCCAGCAAUGUGUCCUUGCUGGAAAGAAGGUGUUACCUGGAUCAAGCUCCAGCAAUAAAAGGGAGCAGUAAAGACCUGCAGCAGAACAGAGCUGCUCUAAGGCCUCUUCCAACUCAGCAUAUUCUAUGGCGCAUAACCUGCUGGCCAAACUAUGGCACAUACUUCCCAGACCAUGAUGGAGUGAAGAGGGCAGCUAGAACUGCUGAGAAAUUCUGAAAAUUCUCAGAAAAGAUGCAGAAGGAUGGAUCUGAAGGUAUCAAGGCAGAUUUCUGAGACUAAAGUAUAUUUACAAAGGACGUGAACUGAUGCAAGUUCAGUAGAAGGUAGGAAAGAAUGAAAUGUCAGAGAGCAAAACAACUGGAAAGACAUAACGAAGCUGCUGUUUGCAAGAAAUAGAAGAAAGCUAUGUGCAAAUACCAUGCAGAAGACAUAUACAAAAAGACAUCACUCUCAGUAGCAGCCCACAGAUUUUUCAUCUUGUGUUUAAAAGUAAGCCAAGCCUUACUGUGCGCCAUGUGGACUGACAGCAGACAAGGGUAAACAAUAAGAAUACUUUAAAUAAUAAGUAAAUAAGAGUUAAUAAAAACUCAUUCUGUGAACUCAGGACCACAGGAAACUCCCUGUAGAAUCAGAAGGUCAGGUCUGCGGUCCAUCUGUCUCAAUCCCCUGUCUCCAACAACAGCAAUAGGAGAUGCUGGUUAGGAAGAGCACAUGAGCUGAGCCCUGAAGGCUCUUCUCCACGUACUCCCCAAUACUCCCAGUUCCUAGGGCAGAGGCCAAUUUCUAUCUAUUCCCUUCAGCAUGUCCCCAUAUGGUACUCACUUUGGAAAAAAAGCUGGAGACUCUCCGUGCUUUUUGAGUCUGAAACCUGUAAUCACAACAACAAAGGUAGGAUCAAAAGUGGGGGAAAGUGCAGCAGAAAAAAGAAGAGGAAAAGUUUCUGAAGUAAUGCAGCAGAGCACAGCCACUGGGGAAAAAAAAUAAAGGAAAAAAAAAAAAAAAGAAGAGAGAAAAAUAAAAGAGAAAAAGAAAUUCUGAACUGAAGCCAAAUUAUAAACACGGUCCUGCGGAUCCAUUAAGGUACAUUAAUGCUGCCACUUCCCCAUCUGUUCCCUGAAGUUCCAAACCAAAAACAAUUCAUCUGCAGUCUUGGCUCCCGUAUUGUGUGAAACAUUCAUCUAUUAAAUUAAUCUGGAGAAAAUGUAUCUAUUUCAUCCCUGGUGGGACUUUGUUUUGUUUUGAUAGGGCUGCAUACCAUGGAUUGUAGCCUAUUGAGGCCACAGAUAAAAAAACAUGUGAAUAAUAAAAUAACAAAUGAAACAAAUAAA